GCAAGUCGAACGGUGACACGGGUGCUUGCACCUGGUGGCGAGUGGCGAACGGGUGAGUGAUACAUCGGAACGUACCUUAUCGUGGGGGAUAACGCAGCGAAAGAUGUGCUAAUACCGCAUACGCCCUGAGGGGGAAAGAGGGGGAUCGAACGACCUCGCGCGAUUAGAGCGGCCGAUGCGUGAUUAGCUAGUUGGUGGGGUAAAGGCCCACCAAGGCGACGAUCAGUAGCUGGUCUGAGAGGACGAUC
rnacentral:rRNA from 1 species